UCGGGUGUAGCCGAGUGGUUAAGGCGAUGAACUCGAAAUCCGUUGCGGACUCCCGCGUAGGUACGAAUCCUAACGGCUCCCAAU